GGAGAGCCCGGCAUUUCUUAUCAGUGAGCAACGAUUAUAAACCCUUACCUGUGCAUAUUUCUAACAAGCUUACUCAAUCCGUAUUUCCAUUCGAUGUCGGACUGAGCUUGUAUCCGUUGGCUCGUUCCCGGACAGAGCUAAAUAUUUCUUACGGAUCGAAUCCCAAUCGACUACGCUUUCGAGUCUUGUAGCACUAUUGAAAGACAAUUGACUUCCAAGAGGACUCAAGUGCACCACGGACAAGGUUACACUGUCUUUUGGUCUGACUUGACCUUUCUUCACUUUGGCCAGCCACUUCGCGCCCAUCUUCGAUCUAGCGUGUUGCUUGCACACUUUGAUGAAAUACACGAUCCAAGUAGUGAGCAAGUUAAGAGGCGAUGGGGCGGUGGUCGUUCUGCAACACGGAAUCGUGUGUCCAGCCUAUCC